AAGAGCCGUGUGAAGGGAGACUUUGACUACGUCGAAUUUCAUUUCAAGCACGGUUCUGUGAGAACGUUGGGGUGAAAUUCCCCUGCGUGACUCGAU
rfam:Flavobacterium branchiophilum FL-15, complete genome.